rnacentral:rRNA from 1 species
AUUGAACGCUGGCGGCAUGCCUUACACAUGCAAGUCGAACGGCAGCAUGAUCUAGCUUGCUAGAUUGAUGGCGAGUGGCGAACGGGUGAGUAAUACAUCGGAACGUGCCCUGUAGUGGGGGAUAGCUAGUCGAAAGAUUAGCUAAUACCGCAUACGACCUGAGGGUGAAAGUGGGGGACCGCAAGGCCUCAUGCUAUAGGAGCGGCCGAUGUCUGAUUAGCUAGUUGGCGAGGUAAAGGCUCACCAAGGCGACGAUCAGUAGCUGGUCUGAGAGGACGAUCAGCCACACUGGGACUGAGACACGGCCCAGACUCCUACGGGAGGCAGCAGUGGGGGAUUUUGGACAAUGGGGGCAACCCUGAUCCAGCAAUGCCGCGUGUGUGAAGAAGGCCUUCGGGUUGUAAAGCACUUUUGUCCGGAAAGAAAUCGCACUUACUAAUAUUAGGUGUGGAUGACGGUACCGGAAGAAUAAGGACCGGCUAACUACGUGCCAGCCGCCGCCGUAAAAC